rnacentral:SRP_RNA from 1 species
GCCGGGCGUGGUGGCGGGCGCCUGUAAUCCCAGCUACUUGGGAGGCUGAGGCAGGAGAAUCAGUUGAACCUGGGAAGCGGAGCUUGCAGUAAGCGGAGAUCGUGCCACUGCACUCCAACCUGGGUGACAGAGUGAGACUCUGUCUGAAAAAAAUAAAAAAUAAAAAUAGAAAAUGAGAUAUGAGACAGAGUUUCGUUCUUGCUGCCCAGGCUGGAGUGUAAUGGCACAAUCUCGCCUCACUGCAACCUCCGCCUCCUGGGUUCAAGCGAUUCUCCCACCUCA